CAGAGCGUGGCUCACACCCCUGGGGCGUGCAACACACUGUCAGCGUACAGACACACCUCACACCCGUAACUAACACACAGAGCGUGGAUCACACCCCUGGGGCGUGCAACACACUGUCAGAAUACAGACACACCCCACACCCGUACCUGACACACAGAGCAUGGAUCACACCCCCGGGGCGUGCAACACACUGUCAGCGUACGGACACACCUCACACCCGUACCUAACACACAGAGCGUGGAUCACACCCCCGGGGCGUGUAACACACUGAGUGUACAGACACACCUCACACCCGUAACUAACAUACAGAGCGUGGAUCACACCCCCGGGGCGUGUAACACACUGUCAGUACACACCUCACACCCGUACCUAACACAAAGAGCGGGGAUCACACCCCCGGGGCGUGUAACACAUUGUCUAUGCACAUG